UGGGGAAUUUUGCACAAUGGGGGAAACCCUGAUGCAGCGACGCCGCGUGAUUUAGAAGGCCUUCGGGUUGUAAAAAUCUUUUCUAUGGGAAGAAAAUGACAGUACCAUAGGAAUAAGGACCGGCUAAUUACGUGCCAGCAGCCGCGGUAAUACGUAAGGUCCGAGCGUUGUCCGGAAUCAUUGGGCGUAAAGGGUACGUAGGCGGGUAAGCAAGUUAGAAGUGAAAUCCUAUAGCUCAACUAUAGUAAGCUUUUAAAACUGCUCAUCUUGAGGUACGGAAGGGAAAGUGGAAUUCCUAGUGUAGCGGUGAAAUGCGCAGAUAUUAGGAGGAAUACCGGUGGCGAAGGCGACUUUCUGGCCAUAACCUGACGCUGAGGUACGAAAGCGUGGGUAGCAAACAGG
rnacentral:rRNA from 1 species